GUUUCUGAAAAUUUUAAGCUCUUUGGGCUUAUCAGGCCCUAGGGUAGUGCGUUUAGGUUUAGGUUGGGUUUGGGCCAUGUUGGGCUUUUGGGCUAUUGCUGUAAUUGGGUCAGUCUAUUUAUUUUUUUAUUUGUAAUUGGGUUAGUUGGGCCCCGGGCAAAAUGGGCUUGUACAGGAAUAUACAAUUUUUUUUAUUUAUUUUUUAUAUUCGUUUUAUAGUUUAUGUUCGUGAGCAUCCCUCUUAAUAAUAUCAUUUUCAAAAUUUGAACAUUAAAAAUAUAAAACUUUUUAUAUUUAAUUAAAUAAUAAUUUUUAAGAUAAAACUCUAACUUAAC
rnacentral:lncRNA from 1 species